rnacentral:tRNA from 4 species
GGGGGAGUGUCGGAAUUGGUAGACGAGCAUGACUUAGGAUCAUGUGCCCUUGGGCGUGAGAGUUCGAGUCUCUCCUUCCCCACCA